AACGAACGCUGGCGGCAUGCCUAACACAUGCAAGUCGAACGAGAUCUUCGGGUCUAGUGGCGCACGGGUGCGUAACGCGUGGGAAUCUGCCCUUUGGUUCGGAAUAACAGUUGGAAACGACUGCUAAUACCGGAUGAUGACGAAAGUCCAAAGAUUUAUCGCCAGAGGAUGAGCCCGCGUAGGAUUAGCUAGUUGGUGUGGGAAAGGCACACAAAGGCGACGAUCCUUAGCUGGUCUGAGAGGAUGAUCAGCCACACUGGGACUGAGACACGGCCCAGACUCAUACGGGAGGCAGCAGUGGGGAAUAUUGGACAAUGGGCGAAAGCCUGAUCCAGCAAUGCCGCGUGAGUGAUGAAGGCCUUAGGGUUGUAAAGCUCUUUUACCCGGGAUGAUAAUGACAGUACCGGGAGAAUAAGCUCCGGCUAACUCCGUGCCAGCCGCCGCCGUAA
rnacentral:rRNA from 1 species